rnacentral:rRNA from 1 species
AAUCAACGCUGGCGGCGUGCCUAACACAUGCAAGUCGAACGCGAAAGCCCCGCAAGGGGCCUGUAGCGUGGCAAACGGGUGAGUAACACGUGGGUGACCUGCCUUCGAGCGGGGGAUAACGUCCCGAAAGGGACGCUAAUACCGCAUGACAUCCUGCCUUUGAAGAGGUGGAGAUCAAAGCUGGGGAUCGCAAGACCUGGCACUUGAAGAGGGGCCCGCGCCUGAUUAGCUAGUUGGUGGGGUAAUGGCUCACCAAGGCAACGAUCAGUA